ACGUGGAAUUGCCUCUAUCGGGGGAGCCCCUGUCGGAGACGGUUAUCCCCGUCUUGAUGACAAGCUUCAGCCGCGCUCCGUUCGUGCGAGAUCUAGCCGACCCGUCUGUCUCAGUGGCCCUACAUUGGUGUUCCGGUUCGGGGAGUGGAGUACCCAGGUAGCGAUGCCUGAGGAUGACGUUCACCCAUGCCGUACCGGCGCCAGAAACACAUGUAUUUCUCAAACCCUGUCUUUUAACAAAGUUGAUGGCGUUCCGAAAAAAAUAAAAAUAAAAACCCUCCAGCUAAGACAAGAUACCUGAUUAAGCGGUGCCCCGGCACCUGUGGCUCCGGCCAUGGGCAGUUCAGGGCCUCCCGCUGGGCGCACAGUGGAUUGACCUAGGGCCUCCUCCCCUCACGGGAUAGGAGUGGUCCCUGGCUGUUCUCUGCUUAGUGUGCUCGGGUACAACCUCUAUGUUGUGAGUGGCUACCUGGUUGAUCCUGCCAGUAGCAUAUGCUUGUCUCAAAGAUUAAGCCAUGCAAGUCUAAGUACACACGGCCGGUACAGUGAAACUGCGAAUGGCUCAUUAAAUCAGUUAUGGUUCCUUUGAUCGCUCCAACGUUACUUGGAUAACUGUGGCAAUUCUAGAGCUAAUACAUGCAGACGAGCGCUGACCUCCGGGGAUGCGUGCAUUUAUCAGACCCAAAACCCAUGCGGGCCAAUCUCGGUUGCCCCGGCCGCUUUGGUGACUCUAGAUAACCUUGAGCCGAUCGCGCGCCCUUUUUGUCGGUUACGUACUACC